rnacentral:tRNA from 1 species
UGACCGAUGGUGUAACGGCAGCACAGGAGAUUUUGGUUCUCUUAGUCCAGGUUCGAAUCCUGGUCGGUCAA